CUCGGCUGCCCAAAGUGCUGGAAUUACAGGCGUGAGCCACCAUGCCUGGUCCCUUUUAAAAUAUUUUAACACUGAGACCAUAUUACUGAUGUACUACUUCUUUCUAAAAGUAAUUAGAAUAAAUGUACACCCUCUUCUUUAAACUUUGCAUUUUUCAAAUUUCCAAAAACAAAAACUAAUUAUAAGUAAAUCCAUAAGCAAAACGCUGUUAAUUACCACUUCCAAAAUCUGGAAGCGGUGACUUGCUUUACUAAGACAAGAAACUUUAGACAGGUGAAUACUUUUAACAAGGAACACACUUAACUUUGUCUAAUUGAGCAAAUUACAAAUCAGAGCUAGUAGCUUGUUAAUUAUAAGAAUAUCUCCAUUACUUGAAUACGUGUACUAGUCAUGGUAGGCAAAAUAAUACUCCAAUAACGGACGACCCCACUGUGGAUCUGAGAACCCCGCAGGCCAGCAGUCUCCAUGUGAUUGCCAAAAGCAAUGCCGCCAUAUAAACCACAGGUGUCUACCUUCACCAUGACAGAAGAAAGGGUUAGAGAUUCCAGAAGUCACAAUUAAAUGCUUCCACCCCGAAAAGUGGAUCAUAUUUCAUUUUCCAAAGCAAUGCAACUUUGUUAACCUCAAAGAGGCAGGGAAGUACAAUUUUCCUGUGGGGUUGGAAGAAGAAAACUGGAAAUUGGUGAACAGUUUUGAAAUGUCUGCCAUAACUUUUAAGUGAGGAACUUAGUGUUCUCUUACUCUGUCAUGUUUUUAAAUAUCUUUUUGAUUGAAAUCUUUCAAGGCUUUCCAGAUCCCUGAAGAUAAAAUACAAACUCUCCAACAAGACCUUUUGGCCAUCAGGAACGCAGCACCUGGCUCUCUCACUAGUAUCCUCUCUCUGUUUGCCAUGUCCCAUUAAGACUGUCUCCAGAAACAAUGAAUUUAUUGUUGCCUGUUUCCUGCUAGCUUUUCCCCGUAUUUACACAGUUUGCUUUAUCUGCUGGGAUUACCCUUCCCUGACUAUGCUCAAUCUCUAUCUCCCUUGGCAAUUCUCCUCCAGGCCCCAGACCUGAGAACUGGACCAGUGCUCUGCUCUCUCCUCUGAGCUUCACCACAUCCUGUGAAAACUUGAACCUAAUUCUUACUAGGUUUUAAUCAACUGUUUACCUGUCUUUUCUCCCCACUAAAGAUGAAAAGUCGCAGAGAUAGCGGAGAACAAGAACCAGAUCUCACAGUCAUGGUGCCAAAAGACUGUUACCCUAGCAUGACUGCUUCAGCGAAGAGAUAAGAGCUUCUUUGACUUUUUCCACUGGAAUUUUUCAUGCCAGAAGAAAUUGAACAUGUGAGCCUGGUGUCUGGAAGAGUAGCCUGGAUUUAUGGUAUCAGAUGCACAUUUUUAACACCUUCAGUUUUCUCUUUAAAAUAUCUCUUCAAUCCCUUACUUUUCUCUAUUUGUUUCAACAUUAAAAUAUGUUAUUUUUCUUCAAA
rnacentral:lncRNA from 1 species